AUGAAGAUGAGCAAGGCCCCUGUGCUCCUGAAGAAGGCGGUGACGAUGUGCAAGAGCAAGACCGGCGUGCUCGCAGCCAGGCUCCUCUUCCUCGCCUCGCUCCGGCGCAGGAUGGCCACCGUCGGCGUGAUGUCUCACAAGAUACACGCGCUCAUGGCGGCCGCGGACCGGGCGAAGGCGGGAGGGGACUGCCACAAGGCUGUCGUUUCGCGCAAGGUCGAGAAGACGCUUCCAGCGAUCCAUGGCGGUGAGAUCGUUGAUCUCACGCAUCAAUUGGCACUGUUUUGUCAAGAGAAGGAUGAUGGUGAUGGUGGCUGCACUGAUCGGACACUACACACCAUCUUCAAUGACGAUGACAACAACUGUUGUUACACCGAAGAUUGCGAGGUGGGCGACGAUGAAGAUGAUGGUCAUGUGCUACUCGAUGAGUGUGAUGAAGACGUCGAUGACCAACCGCUGGUCAUAGAUGUAAUCCGGAACAACCGAGAGGCACAGGGUUUAGAGUUCAGCAUUGACAACGAAAUUGAUCAGGCUGCUGACAUGUUCAUCACAAGGUUCCAGAAGCGGAUGAAUCAGAGCUUCUAG
rnacentral:rRNA from 1 species